GAUGGACUAUGGGGACCCUCUAGGUCAUCUUUGCAGCUUUUCUGUAAAUAUUAUACUAUUCUAAAAAUUUCAUUUGAAUUGUAAAAUGUCAAGAAAAGAGGGAAGGAAAGAAAAGGGAAGAGAAAAAGAGAAAGGGAGGACAACUGGCAAAAUCAACAUCUCCUGAGUGUGAGUGCUGAGUCAGCAACUUUCACAAAUGAUUUGCCCUUGAAAAAAUUAUAGCCAAAAAAGUUUAAGCAACACUGGCAAAGCUGGUUAGUUAAUAAAUAGCAGAGUGAGGGAAUUGAUCUUAGAUGUUCUUGCUCCCAGGGCCUAGUUUUUUCUGCCACCACUCAUCACCUCCCACCUCUGCAU
rnacentral:lncRNA from 1 species